AUUAUGUAGUAAAUAUGAUCUCUAUAGCAAAAGCAAAGUUUUGGUGGACGUUGAAAAAGUAAAGCCAUACUAUCAAUCACUUAUUGACAAGUAUUUCCCAGCAAAGCUGAAGUGGUGAAGAAUCAAUAUAAGCUAAUUAAUGGAUCUACCUCAAGGGCCUGGAGGGAAUUGAUUAAUUUUCCUUGAGAGCAAGUUAAAAAAUAGAGACCGAUUGCAUAUAUGUGUUGUAAUGUAUUAAUUUCUAUAAUUACAUAUAUGUGUUGUAAAUCACAAACAGAUUGCUUUAUAUGAGGCUUUUCAGUGAUAUAUAUACUCAAUAAUAUGAUGUAAACUAUUAAAAUGAAUGAAUGAUGGAUGAACC